CCGCUUCCCAGAUUCAAGUGAUUCUCCUGCCUCAGCCUCCCAAGUAGCUGGGAUACCGGCUAAUUUUGUAUGUUCGGUAGAGACGGGGUUUCUCCAUGUUGGUCAGGCUGGUCUCAAACUCUCGACCUUAGGUGAUCCGCCCGCCUCGGCCUCUCAGAUUGCUGGGCAUACAGGCAUGAGCCACCGCGACCGGCCCUCUGAGUCUUUCUUAUCUGUAAAAUGGGUAUAAUAAUACCUAUCUAAUCGGUUUUAGUAAUGGUGGAGAUAAUGCCUGAAAGUGCUAGUAUAGAGGUUUAAUAGCCAGCAAGGACUGUUAUUAGAAUGAAUAGUAAUAUGACUACUGUCACAUUUUGCAAAUGUGUAAAGAAGAAAGAGGGCUAAGUGAAUCAAAGGGAGACAGCCCCACUCACCCUGUUCUGCCCCAGAGGACUGAGCGAUCCCCACCAUCUGGCAAGCUGCCUCACCAGGAGGUCCAGCUGGGGCUACAGGACUGGCUACUUUGCUACAAUGGCCCGUCUUUCCUGAGCCCAGUGGAGGGUCCCAGGGGGGCAGGAGUCAUUGAUAGGGGCCAGUAGGGUUGUAGAGCCACUGUCUGAACUUCUGUGGAGGUCUGGUGCAGGGGAGGUGUGAACAGAUAGGAGGCUAGGUGAGGAUGCAGCAGAGGAAGGGGGCAGGAGUGCCCCAGGAGGGGGCGGUACCGAGGCAGGGAUUCAGCUGGGUCUGAGAGGGAGGCAAGGCUGAGGGGGAUGGCCCUUUGGAGUGGGCAGGGACAUGACCACAGAAAGCCUGGGAAGUGGAAACAGACAGGAGCCUGUUGGAGCUCUUGGAGCUUUGUGUGGGGCACUGGGGGAAGGAGGCAGGCACUCCACCCUGACCUGCCCCUACCUCGGAUGAGGGUCUUCUCUGCCUGUUGGAUGAUGUGCUGCCCCUGCUCUUGGAGGAAGAGGCCUCCCAGCCACCCCCUCCUGCCAGUCGCCCUGACCUGCUGACCCAGACAGAUCUGCUAUCCCUACAGCAUCCAGGAAGGCCACAGGGAGGGGGCCCAGGUGGCAUGGGUUUCUGAGGCCUGGGAUCUGCUCUCAGUCCCGCUCUCGCCAACCCCCUUUGCCCCUCUGUGACAGUGUGUGUACAUAUGCGUGCAUGUGUGUACCUGUGUGGUGUGGCUCACAAGGUCACCCCUGGGGGUGGGAUAAUAAGAGGUAAAGUGUGACCCCCUCUCUUCCGUACAUUCAUUUUUUCAAGCUUGUGAAUAUUCACAUUGUUAAUAUAAUCUUCUGCAGUCCCAUGACUUCGAAUAGCACUUAGAUGCCGAUGACCCCCCCACCAAAGAAACCCCACUGUCUCCCACAGACUCCAGGUCUGUAUCUCCAACUGCCUACUCAAUACAACACGUCCACCUGAUGCAAUGAACUUAAUGUGUCUAAACCCCAAUUCCACAUUUCCAGUCCUCCUACCGGCUCCUCCCCCAGUCUUCUCUACUUUACUGUAUGACAACUCCAUUUUUCCCAAUACUGGUUUUAAAAACCCUGGAGUAGUCCUUGACUCCAGUCUCUCUCACCUUUCAACCAAUUCAGCAGCAAAUACUGACAGCUCUACCUUUGCUCAUCAAAGCAUAUUCCAAAAUCACCCUAUUCGAGACUGCACACUGUCAUCUUUCCCUUCAAUUACAGCAGUAGCCUCCUAACUAGUUUUCUUGAUUCCACUCUUGCCCAUCAGCAGUAAAAUUAGCACAGUGCAUUUAAAAUGAUCUUUUAAAAAUGACAGGGCCGGGCGUGAUGGCUCAUGCCUAUAAUCACAGCACUUUGUGAGGCUGAGGCGGAC
rnacentral:lncRNA from 1 species